rnacentral:rRNA from 1 species
UACAGAGGGUGCAAGCGUUAAUCGGAUUUACUGGGCGUAAAGCGUGCGUAGGCGGUUCGCUAAGUCGGUUGUGAAAUCCCUGGGCUUAACCUGGGAACUGCAGUCGAUACUGGCGGACUAGAGUACGGUAGAGGGUGGCGGAACUCCGGGUGUAGCGGUGAAAUGCGUAGAGAUCCGGAGGAAUACCAGAGGCGAAGGCGGCACCCUGGGUCUGACCUGACACUGAUCCGCGACAGCAUGGGGAGCGAACGGG